rnacentral:rRNA from 1 species
UCGAGAAUUUUUCACAAUGGGCGAAAGCCUGAUGGAGCGACGCCGCGUGGGGGAUGAAUGGCUUCGGCCCGUAAACCCCUGUCAUUUGCGAUCAAACUUGUCGACCUAACACGUCGGCAACUGAUAGUAGCGAAAGAGGAAGGGACGGCUAACUCUGUGCCAGCAGCCGCGGUAAUACAGAGGUCCCAAGCGUUGUUCGGAUUCACUGGGCGUAAAGGGUGCGUAGGCGGUCGGGUAAGUCUGGUGUGAAAUAUCGGAGCUCAACUCCGAAACUGCAUCAGAUACUAUUCGGCUAGAGGGUUGGAGGGGGGACUGGAAUUCUCGGUGUAGCAGUGAAAUGCGUAGAUAUCGAGAGGAACACCAGUGGCGAAGGCGAGUCCCUAGACAACACCUGACGCUGAGGCACGAAAGCCAGGGGAGCAAACGGG